UCCUCCGUGGCGCAAUUGGCUAGCGCGUUCGACUGUUAUUCUUAACUGAGACAUCGAGAGGUUGACAGUUCAAGCCUGUCCGGGGGAG
rnacentral:tRNA from 1 species